rnacentral:rRNA from 1 species
AGCAGCCGCGGUAAUUCCAGCUCCAAUAGCGUAUAUUAAAGUUGUUGCAGUUAAAAAGCUCGUAGUUGAAUUUCGGGAUCAAUACGUCGGUCGUGCCUUCGGUACGUACUGGCUUAUUGGUUUCUCCUUUCUGAAGAACCAUGAUGUCAUUUAUUUGGUGUCGUGGGGAAUCAGGACUGUUACUUUGAAAAAAUUAGAGUGUUUAAAGCAGGCUCACGCUUGAAUACAUUAGCAUGGAAUAAUGAAAUAGGACGUUUGAUUCUAUUUUGUUGGUUUCUAGGAUCGACGUAAUGAUUAAUAGGGAUAGUUGGGGGCAUUAGUAUUCAAUUGUCAGAGGUGAAAUUCUUGGAUUUAUUGAAGACUAACUACUGCGAAAGCAUUUGCCAAGGAUGUUUUCAUUAAUCAAGAACGAAAGUUAGGGGAUCGAAGACGAUCAGAUACCGUCGUAGUCUUAACCAUAAACUAUGCCGACUAGGGAUCGGAUGAUGUUAAUUUUUUAAUGACUCAUUCGGCGCCUUACG